rnacentral:lncRNA from 1 species
CUCCUGCCAUGCUUGCUCUCUCUUCUCUUUAGGCCACUAGUUCCUUGCCAGAGAGUUUGAGCACAGAGAGUCGCCAAGAUAGCUGGGCCAGGAAGAAAACGUCGCACCCCUGACCCAGACUCCAUUACCGACCCUGGUGGGCCGUUUGUGUCAUCCAAACGGCUGAAAAUGUCCAGCAGCACCAAUGCCCCUGGCCAGAGGAGAGUGUCUCGGGGCUUGGAUGAUGCCACCAACAAGAAGAAGCAGAAGGAUCGAGCCAACCAGGAGAGCAAGGAAGUGUCUCGCCCUGAGCUCGAGCAGGCUGAGACCUCCCAGGAGAGGGACUUGGAGGAGGAGUUGCUGCUGGACUGGAAACAGAAUGCUGAUGAGAUCAUUGUCAAGCUGAACUUGGGAAGUGGAUCUCUGAAGGUGGAGGACGUGGAUACUUUUUUCACCGAUACUGACUGUGUGAUCAAAC